UGUGUGUGUGUGUGUGUGUGUGUGUGUGUGUGUAUACACACACACACACACAUACAUACACACAAC
rnacentral:miRNA from 1 species